UCCAUCAUCCUCACUGUGAGAGAAGUUGUGCCUGCCCUCCUAUGUUUCUUUUUUCCUUUUUUUAAAAUUAAUUAACUAAUCAGAAAGCUAAAGGUGAAUCUAUACCUAAACAUGAGGAAGAAGUUUUCGCCAAAGAAUCAGAGAGCUAUAUGGAAACUUUUACCUGGCUGCAAGUGAGGACAAUCCUAUUGGAGCUUAGAGACAAUCCUUUCCCAGGCCAGGCAGAGGACAUGAGAAGAGAAGCAGAGAAGUGGCUUCUUGAAGAGACUUCCUAAAGGCCUGGGCAAAGGCGGAAGCCUAUGAACACAAACAAGCUUGACCAUAAAGGAAACAUUGGUACUACGAUUACGCCUGCUUGUUAUGAUGAACGUCAUCCAUGUCAAUACUACAGUGACUAUACCAACAAGGAAAGAGAAAACAAAGGCAAAUCAAAGAGCAGAAAGAAAGAGUGUAAGAAGGAAAAGGAGUGGGAAAGGGGAAGAAGUGCAGGAGAAGUGAGCAUCUGUAUGGAGUAACUCAGCCCAAAUUCCUGUCAUUUUAUGAUGGCAAAGUUGGACCAGAAGAUAAACUGACAAACAUAGUCCAAUUUUUGCAUUUAUGUUGUUCCAGUAGCUUUGCAGCAGCCUGUUCUGGUUCCUCAAUAGGGUCUGUUGAGCCCUG